UCCUUGUUAGUAUAGUGGUUAGUAUUUCCGCCUGUCAUCACCAUGACCGCCCGCGGGAGACCGGGGUUCAAUUCCCCGACAAGGAG
rnacentral:tRNA from 1 species